rnacentral:rRNA from 1 species
GUCUACGGUCAUGCCACCCUGAACACGCCCGAUCCCGUCUGAUCUCAGAAGCUAAGCAGGGUCAGGCCUGGUUAGUCCUUGGAUGGGAGACCACUUAGGAAGACUGGGUGCUGUAGGCA